UACGAAGGGGGCUAGCGUUGUUCGGAGUUACUGGGCGUAAAGGGCGCGUAGGCGGCGCAUCAAGUCAGGCGUGAAAGCCCUGGGCUCAACCCGGGAAUUGCGCUUGAGACUGGUGUGCUCGAGUACGGGAGAGGAUAGUGGAAUUCCCAGUGUAGAGGUGAAAUUCGUAGAUAUUGGGAAGAACACCAGUGGCGAAGGCGGCUAUCUGGACCGUAACUGACGCUGAGGCGGCGAAAAGCG
rnacentral:rRNA from 1 species